AGGAGAUCAAAAGAACUUACUACGUGUGGUAAAUAGGAAGGACCAAGUUUUGAGGAGGCGCACGAUUCCUUAUGUAAAGGUGCAGUGGAGCAAUUACAGUAAGAGAGAAGCCACCUGGGAGCUGGAGGAGGAGAUGAGAGAGAAGUUCCCUGCCUUGUUCUUGGAUUGAGGUAUGUUUUAAUUUCGAGGACGAAAUUUCUUUUUAGUUGGUUAGAGUGUGAAGACCCGAACUGAAGUCGGCAAGGAGUGCCGACUUCAGUUGGGUCAUCGUGGUCUGCCCACGAAGACCACGCCGGCCGAACGGCCAGCGGGAUCUCCGCCCCACCCCCCUCUUCCCUCUUCCCUCUCCCUCUCUCUCUCUCUCUCUCCCUCUUUCUCUCCUCUGAGAGCCUCAUCCGAGCCCCAUCCUUUUCCCCAUCCCUCUAAAAAAAAAAAAAAACUUGAGUUUUUCCCCUCAUCUUCUUCCUUUUUUUUGAAAGGAUCGCCGGAGCCACCGUCGCCGCCACCGCCGCCGGGUAUCCUUUCGUCGACGACCGGAGGGGUUCGUGAUAUCUGUGGCAGGAAUUUUUUAAGCGAUCCCAGGUGAUGAUAUGUGACUAUGGGGAUUACGGGGUGGAGUGAUCAUGAUGUAGUUAGCUAGUAGAUAUUGACUUUUUCUUUUGACUUAUGUAUAUAUGGACAUUUCAAUUGAAAGUUGGAAUUUA